UGCCUAAUACAUGCAAGUYGAGCGGACUGAUGGGAGCUUGCUCCCUGAAGUCAGCGGCGGACGGGUGAGUAACACGUGGGUAACCUGCCUGUAAGACUGGGAUAACUCCGGGAAACCGGGGCUAAUACCGGAUAGUUCUUUUCCUCGCAUGAGGAAAAGUGGAAAGGCGGCUUCGGCUGCCACUUACAGAUGGACCCGCGGCGCAUUAGCUAGUUGGUGAGGUAACGGCUCACCAAGGCAACGAUGCGUAGCCGACCUGAGAGGGKGRUCGGCCACACUGGGACUGANACACGGCCCAAACUCCUACGGGAGGSAGCAGUAGGGAAUCUUCCGCAAUGGACGAAAGUCUGACSGAGCAACGCCSCGUGAGUGAUGAAGGUUUUCGGAUCGUAAAGCUCUGUUGUUAGGGAAAAACAAGUGCCGUUCGAAUAGGGCGGCNCCUUGACGGUACCUAACCAGAAAGCCACGGCUAACUACGUGCCAGCMGCCGCGGUAAUACGUAGGUGGCAAGCGUUGUCCGGAAUUAUUGGGCSUAAAGCGCGCGCAGGCGGUCUCUUAAGUCUGAUGUGAAAGCCCACGGCUCAACCGUGGAGGGUCAUUGGAAACUGGGGGGACUUGAGUACAGAAGAGGAAAGUGGAAUUCCACGUGUAGCGGUGAAAUGCGUAGAUAUGUGGA
rnacentral:rRNA from 1 species